GAGGGUUUGAUCCUGGCUCAGAUUGAACGCUGGCGGCAGGCCUAACACAUGCAAGUCGAGCGGAUGAAGGGAGCUUGCUCCUGGAUUCAGCGGCGGACGGGUGAGUAAUGCCUAGGAAUCUGCCUGGUAGUGGGGGAUAACGUCCGGAAACGGGCGCUAAUACCGCAUACGUCCUGAGGGAGAAAGUGGGGGAUCUUCGGACCUCACGCUAUCAGAUGAGCCUAGGUCGGAUUAGCUAGUUGGUGGGGUAAAGGCCUACCAAGGCGACGAUCCGUAACUGGUCUGAGAGGAUGAUCAGUCACACUGGAACUGAGACACGGUCCAGACUCCUACGGGAGGCAGCAGUGGGGAAUAUUGGACAAUGGGCGAAAGCCUGAUCCAGCCAUGCCGCGUGUGUGAAGAAGGUCUUCGGAUUGUAAAGCACUUUAAGUUGGGAGGAAGGGCAGUAAGUUAAUACCUUGCUGUUUUGACGUUACCAACAGAAUAAGCACCGGCUAACUUCGUGCCAGCAGCCGCGGUAAUACGAAGGGUGCAAGCGUUAAUCGGAAUUACUGGGCGUAAAGCGCGCGUAGGUGGUUCAGCAAGUUGGAUGUGAAAUCCCCGGGCUCAACCUGGGAACUGCAUCCAAAACUACUGAGCUAGAGUACGGUAGAGGGUGGUGGAAUUUCCUGUGUAGCGGUGAAAUGCGUAGAUAUAGGAAGGAACACCAGUGGCGAAGGCGACCACCUGGACUGAUACUGACACUGAGGUGCGAAAGCGUGGGGAGCAAACAGGAUUAGAUACCCUGGUAGUCCACGCCGUAAACGAUGUCGACUAGCCGUUGGGAUCCUUGAGAUCUUAGUGGCGCAGCUAACGCGAUAAGUCGACCGCCUGGGGAGUACGGCCGCAAGGUUAAAACUCAAAGGAAUUGAC
rnacentral:rRNA from 1 species